rnacentral:misc_RNA from 1 species
AAAAAUCGCCGGAAAUGAGAAAGAAUUUGGUAGCCUAAGAGUUAGGGCAAUGGGAAGCCGGGGGAGCCUGACAAAACUUGAUCCUCUUUAAUGAAUGUUGGUGGAAUAGUUUUCUGAGGAGGGUGGAAAAAAUCAUCCUUAUUUAGUCUAUUAGAUUCAGCAGGAAGAAUCCAGCCAGCUGGGCCACCUACUAAACCUAAACCAUCCUGG